GCUGGCGGCAGGCUUAACACAUGCAAGUCGAGCGCUGUAGCAAUACAGAGCGGCGCACGGGUGAGUAACACGUGGGAACAUGCCUUUCGGUUCGGAAUAACUCAGGGAAACUUGUGCUAAUACCGGAUACGCCCUUACGGGGAAAGAUUUAUUGCCGAAAGAGUGGCCCGCGUUGGAUUAGCUAGUUGGCGGGGUAAAAGCCCACCAAGGCGACGAUCCAUAGCUGGUCUGAGAGGACGACCAGCCACACUGGGACUGAGACACGGCCCAGACUCCUACGGGAGGCAGCAGUGGGGAAUCUUGGACAAUGGGGGAAACCCUGAUCCAGCCAUGCCGCGUGAGUGAUGAAGGCCCUAGGGUUGUAAAACUCUUUCGGCGGGGACGAUAAUGACGGUACCCGCAGAAGAAGCUCCGGCUAACUUCGUGCCAGCAGCCGCGGUAAUACGAAGGGGGCUAGCGUUGUUCGGAAUUACUGGGCGUAAAGCGCGCGCAGGCGGUCCUUCAAGUCAGGGGUGAAAGCCCAGAGCUCAACUCUGGAACGGCCUUUGAGACUAGAGGACUUGGGUACGGGAGAGGUGAGUGGAAUUCCGAGUGUAGAGGUGAAAUUCGUAGAUAUUCGGAAGAACACCAGUGGCGAAGGCGGCUCACUGGCCCAUUACCGACGCUCAGGCGCGACAGCGUGGGGAGC
rnacentral:rRNA from 1 species